GAUGAAGAACGUAGCGAAAUGCGAUAAGUAAUGUGAAUUGCAGAAUUCAGUGAAUCAUCGAAUCUUUGAACGCACCUUGCACCCUUUGGCAUUCUGAAGGGUAUGCUCGUUUGAGUGUCAUUGUACUCUCACACUCCCGAUCUUUGCAUUGGGAGCAGUGGACUUGGGUUUGCUGCUUCACCGUCGCUUACCUCAAAUAGGUUAGUGCAACUCUUGGUUGGACAUAGUACGGCGUGAUAAGUGUUCUUCGCCGGUGCCUCGCAAAGAGGGUGGCCGAUCGGGAUGUUGUGCUCCAAACCGUCUUCGGACAAUCUCUGACGACUUGACCUCAAAUCGAGUUAGACUACCCGCUGAACUUAAGCAUAUCAAUAAGCGGAGGA
rnacentral:misc_RNA from 1 species